rnacentral:rRNA from 1 species
GACGAACGCUGGCGGCGUGCUUAACACAUGCAAGUCGAGCGGUAAGGCCCUUUCGGGGGUACGACGAGCGGCGAACGGGUGAGUAACACGUGGGUGACCUGCCCUUACGCUCUGGGAUAAGCCUGGGAAACUGGGUCUAAUACCGGAUAUGACUCCAUGACGCAUGUUGUGGGGUGGAAAGCCUUGUGCGGCUAGGGAUGGGCCCGCGGCCUAUCAGCUUGUUGGUGGGGUGAUGGCCACCAAGGCGACGACGGGUAGCCGGCCUGAGAGGGCGACCGGCCACACUGGGACUGAGACACGGCCCAGACUCCUACGGGAGGGCAGCAGUGGGGAAGUCUUGCGCAAUGGGCGAAAGCCUGACGCAGCGACGCCGCGUGAGGGAUGAC